rnacentral:rRNA from 1 species
GACGAACGCUUGCGGCGUGCCUAAGAAAUGCAAGUCGAACGGACAAUCCAGCAAUGGGUUGUUAGUGGCGAACGGUCGCGUAACACGUAAGCAACCUGCCCGGAAGUAGGGGACAACAGCCCGAAAGGGCUGCUAAUACCGCAUGUGGUCAAGUCUCGGCAUCGUGACUUGUCUAAAGCCUUGUGCGCUUCCGGAUGGGCUUGCGGCCUAUCAGCUAGUUGGUGGGGUAACGGCCUACCAAGGCGUCGACGGGUAGCUGGUCUGAGAGGACGAUCAGCCGGAUUGGGACUGAGAUACGGCCCAGACUCCUACGGGGGGCAGCAAUUAGGAAUCUUGCGCAAUGGGGGCAACCCUGACGCAGCGACGCCGCGUGGAGGACGAAGGCAUUCGUGUCGUAAACUCCUUUUGACAGGGAAGAAGGAUGUGACGGUACCUGUCGAAUAAGCCCCGGCUAACUACGUGCCAACAGCCGCGGUAAUACGUAGGGGGUGAGCGUUGUCCGAAGUUACUGGGCGUAAAGCGCGCGUAGGCGGCCAUUUAAGUCUGGGGUGAAAGGUUCAGCGCUCAACGCGAACAGUGCCUUGGAUACUGGGUGGCUUGAGUUCGGGAGGGGGUAGUGGAAUUCCUGGUGUAGCGGUGAAAUGCGUAGAUAUCAGGAGGAACACCGGUGGCGAAGGCGGCUACCUGGCCCAGAACUGACGCUGAGGUGCGAAAGCGUGGGGAGCGAACGGGAUUAGAUACCCCGGUAGUCCACGCCGUAAACGAUGAGUGCUAGGUGUUCGGGGUAUCGACCCCCCGGGUGCCGUCGCUAACGCAUUAAGCACUCCGCCUGGGGAGUACGGCCGCAAGGUUGAAACUCAAAGGAAUUGACGGGGGCCCGCACAAGCGGUGGAGCAUGUGGAUUAAUUCGUCACUAACCGAAGAACCUUACCCAGGCUUGACAUCGCGUGUAAGGCUGUGAAAGCAGUCCCCCCCCGCAAGGGGGCACAAAGACAGGUGUUGCAUGGCUGUCGUCAGCUCGUGUCGUGAGAUGUUGGGUUAAGUCCCGCAACGAGCGCAACCCUCACCGUAUGUUGGCAGCGUAAAGUCGGCAACUCUUACGGAACUGCCCGUGCAAGCGGGAGGAAGGUGGGGACGACGUCAAGUCGGCAUGGCCCUUACGCCUGGGGCUUCACACAUGCUACAAUGGGCGGAGCAGAGCGCACCGAUACCGCGAGGUGGAGGCAAUCGCACAAACCCGCCCUCAGUUCGGAUUGCAGGCUGCAACUCGCCUGCAUGAAGCUGGAAUCGCUAGUAACCGCAGGUCAGCUAAACUGCGGUGAAUACGUUCCCGGGCCUUGUACACACCGCCCGUCAAGUCACCUGAAUUGUCUGCACCCGAAGCCGAUGGCCUAACCCCAGCAAUGGGGAAGGAAUCGUCUAAGGCGUGGGGAGUAAGGGGGACU